GCCCCUAUAGUUUAAUGGCAAAACGCAGCAAUGGUAAUGCUGAAAUACAAGUUCGAUUCUCGUUAGGGGCACCA
rnacentral:tRNA from 1 species